AUUGAACGCUGGCGGCAGGCCUAACACAUGCAAGUCGAGCGAGCGGCGGACGGGUGAGUAAUGUCUGGGAAACUGCCUGCUGGAGGGGGAUAACUACUGGAAACGGUAGCUAAUACCGCAUACCAUCCGAUUUGCCCAGAUGGGAUUAGCUAGUAGGUGGGGUAACGGCUCACAUAGGCGACGAUCCCUCGCUGGACUGCGAGGAUGACAAGCCACACUGGAACUGAGACACGGCCCAGACUCCUACGGGAGGAAGCAGUGGGGAAUAUUGCACAAGGGGCGCAAGCCGGAUGAAGAAAUGCCGCGUGUGGGAAGAAGGCCUUCGGGUUGUAAAGCACUUUCAGCGGGGAGGCGUUACCCGCAGAAGAAGCACCGGCUAACUCCGUGCCAGCAGCCGCGGUAAUAC
rnacentral:rRNA from 1 species